ACCGAAAUUUAGACUGUCCCUGAGCACACAUACUACCAUUCUCAUAACAGGUGUUCCACAUUACACCCCAAGGUCUUCACGUCACUCUUUUCCAAGCAAUACACCCACAGCAUACCAAGACUGUGAUUUAACCCUUGUACAGGGGAAAGUGACCUCAUAAGGGUACUCCCCCAGACUGACCAUUACGUCAGUCCAUGGUCAGUCUACCUUUACUCAGAAAUGAUGUCAUAUAAGUUAUGUUUUCCUUAUAUGACAUCAUCUCCUAUUUUCACCCCAAGUGGUCCCUCUGAAACUGUAUAAAAUGUCCACAUUUUCCCACUUUCAUUGAGUUCUUCUUCUUCUCCCUGGGAAACCAGAGGCAUAGCCAUAAGCUGAUUCAGCCCUAUGCUCUGGCCAGUCUUCAUCUACAAAACUCUUCAGAACCUCUGUCUUCUGUCUCCAACUUCCGUAUUCUAGUACCCAGCCAUACCCAUAAGCUGAUGCAGCCGUAUGGUCUGAGGUUAUAGUUCUGUACAUACACAAUACCGGUAGAAUAUUGAGUUCUUGAAAAUAAACCAGUUUUCCAUAUAGCUGA